rnacentral:rRNA from 1 species
UACGAAGGGGGCUAGCGUUGCUCGGAAUUACUGGGCGUAAAGCGCACGUAGGCGGCUUUCUAAGUCGGGGGUGAAAUCCUGGAGCUCAACUCCAGAACUGCCUUCGAUACUGGAGAGCUCGAGUCCGGGAGAGGUGAGUGGAACUGCGAGUGUAGAGGUGAAAUUCGUAGAUAUUCGCAAGAACACCAGUGGCGAAGGCGGCUCACUGGCCCGGUACUGACGCUGAGGUGCGAAAGCGUGGGGAGCAAACGGGG